rnacentral:rRNA from 1 species
GACAGAGGGUGCAACCGUUGCUCGGAAUUACUGGGCGUAAAGCGCGUGUAGGCGGGCUGAUAAGUCGGACGUGAAAUCCCUGGGCUCAACCCAGGAACUGCAUCCGAAACUGUCAGUCUGGAGUGGUGGAGAGGGAAGCAGAAUUCCUGGUGUAGAGGUGAAAUUCGUAGAUAUCAGGAGGAACACCGGUGGCGAAGGCGGGUCUCUGGGCCGAUACUGACGCUGAGGAGCGAAAGCGUGGGGAGCGAACAGG